rnacentral:rRNA from 1 species
AACGAACGCUGGCGGCAUGCCUAACACAUGCAAGUCGAACGAGACCUUCGAGUCUAGUGGCGCACGGGUGCGUAACGCGUGGGAACCUGCCCUUAGGUUCGGAAUAACUCCCCGAAAGGGGUGCUAAUACCGGAUAAUGUCUUCGGACCAAAGAUUUAUCGCCUUUGGAUGGGCCCGCGUUGGAUUGGCUAGUUGGUAGGGUAAAAGCCUACCAAGGCGACGAUCCAUAGCUGGUCUGAGAGGAUGAUCAGCCACACUGGGACUGAGACACGGCCCAGACUCCUACGGGAGGCAGCAGUGGGGAAUAUUGGACAAUGGGCGAAAGCCUGAUCCAGCAAUGCCGCGUGAGUGAUGAAGGCCUUAGGGUUGUAAAGCUCUUUUACCCGGGAUGAUAAUGACAGUACCGGGAGAAUAAGCUCCGGCUAACUCCGUG